GACGGAGGAUGCAAGCGUUAUCCGGAAUUAUUGGGCGUAAAGAGCUCGUAGGCGGUUUGUCGCGUCUGCCGUGAAAGUCCGGGGCUCAACUCCGGAUCUGCGGUGGGUACGGGCAGACUAGAGUGAUGUAGGGGAGACUGGAAUUCCUGGUGUAGCGGUGAAAUGCGCAGAUAUCAGGAGGAACACCGGUGGCGAAGGCGCUCAUCUGGCCCAAUACUGACGCUGAGGCGCGAAAGCUAGGGGAGCAAACGGG
rnacentral:rRNA from 1 species